UUAACCCAGUUAAGUCUGAUCCAGAAAGAAGAGUUUUCUCCAGCUGGAAGCAGAUGGGGAUGUCAGAGAGAUUUUAAGCAUGAGAAAGACUCAACAUGCUAUAGCUUGCUUUGAAUGUGGAGGAAGAGAUUUAAGGUGAUGACAACCUGAAAAAGAAUCAGGAACCCCAGCUGAAGGAGUAACUGAAGACUAGGGUAGGAGGCAUCAUUGGAUUGGGUUUGGCUGAAAUGUUGUCCUACAAAGAGCAGUAUACUCUUGCAUACUUGUAUACAUCAAACAAGUAGAAGAUGGCUCAUCUCCAGUCAAUAAAUGCUGCAACAUUGUUUAUCAAAGGAACAAAUAUGAAAGAAAAACAUUGCUUUGAAGUGAAUGAAGACAGAUCCCCUGGCAAACUACAGCUUGAGGUGCAAUUUCCUAAUUUUCAAAUUCCUAAGAAAGGAAAUGAAAGAAACUCAACUCUUGAGAAAGCUUUAAUGCCAGCUUUGAUCUCGAUUAUAAAAAGUUAUUAACGGAAAGUGCAUGUUUACAUUUAGGAUUCAAGAGGG